GGAAUCAACGCUGGCGGCGUGCCUAACACAUGCAAGUCGCACGAGAAAGGGUAGCAAUACCUGAGUACAGUGGCGCACGGGUGAGUAACACGUGACUAACCUACCUCCGAGUGGGGAAUAACUGAGAGAAAUCUUAGCUAAUACCGCAUAACACUUACGAGUCAAAGCAGCAAUGCGCUUGGAGAGGGGGUCGCGGCAGAUUAGUUAGUUGGCGGGGUAAUGGCCCACCAAGACGAUGAUCUGUA
rnacentral:rRNA from 1 species